rnacentral:rRNA from 1 species
AUUGAACGCUGGCGGCAGGCCUAACACAUGCAAGUCGAGCGAGCGGCGGACGGGUGAGUAAUGCCUGGGAAUUGCCAAGUCGAGGGGGAUAACAGUUGGAAACGACUGCUCAUACCGCAUACGAUUGGAUUGCCCAGGUGGGAUUAGCUAGUUGGUGAGGGAAUGGCGCAUCCAGGCGACGCUCCCUAGCUGGUCUGAGUGGAUGAUCAGCCAGACUGGAACGGAGACACGGUCCAGACUCCUACGGGAGGCAGCAGUGGGGAAUAUUGCACAAUGGGGGAAAGCCUGAGGCAGCCAUGCCGCGUGUUUGAAGAAGGCCUUAGGGUUGUAAAGCACUUUCAGCGAGGAGGCGUUACUCGCAGAAGAAGCACCGGCUAACUACGUGCCAGCCGCCGCGGUAAUUC